CCGCUCUUCUUGCUUCCCCGCCCCCGCACAGAGUCUUCACGAGGAUUGGCUACCUGUACUUUAGAUCCGCCCCCGCCCGCGCGGCCUUCCUAGUUUCUGCGCAGUGAGCAGGUCACCGGCCUUUUUGUCCCGGGAGGUUGAUGAGAGGAUCCGCCGCUACCUUUUAGAGGGUUGCGGGCGGGCCUUGCCAGCGGGUGCAAAAACCCAGGCCAGAGCCGACUUUGGCCCCGGGAGUUUGUCUCCAGCACACGCGGAGGUCAGCAGCCUGGAAUUCCAAGUGCAGGUUGAACACAGCCAAUGCAAGCCGUUGAAGCUGGGGUGCUGUCCUGGUAUUUCAUCUAAUACUAAUUGUCAUUAUAGUACAACAGGAAAGUGCCUCUAAUGAGGUGAGAUAUCCAUAAGUGUACCUGGUGUGGUUAAAAAAGAAAACAGUGAAUGUUGGAUGGCAUUUGGCUGUCCAACAGAAAGGCAGGGAUCUUCAAUAGAAGAGCACAUCAGCCCUAGUAACGGUGUGUAACAAGUUUCAACUUGCUUGGGGCAAUCAAUCUGAGCACUGGUUGAGAGGAGUGUUUUUAAAGUAGCAUAAAUGAUGGAUCAUGAACAACGCAUUAACAUGAAAUUUUGUUUCAAACUGCAAAAAAGUGCUAAAGAAACACAUGAAAUGUUAAAAUUAGUGUAUGGAGAUGCUGCAGUGACCAGAAAGACAGUUUACAAGUGGUUUGAGCGGUUUCGCAAGGGUUGUGAAUCUGUUAACGACGAGGAGAGAUCGGGACGUCCUUCAACAUCCAAAACCCGAGAGAAUGUUGAAAGAGUAAGCGAAAUGAUUCGAUCAAACAAACGACUGACGAUUAGGAAAAUUUCAGAGGAUCUGAACAUCUCUUAUGGUACCGUACAAAGCAUUUUAACCACAGAUCUGAACAUGAGGCGAGUGAGCCCGAAAUGUAUCCAUAUACAACCACAGGAGAUAGAGCAAUAGGACAGUGUCGGUGGCGACAGGGCAGUGUUUCCCUUUCAUUUAACUGACUGAGGUAGGUACUAUGCUCCCAUGUUGCAAUGAAGAAAUGGUUAGGGAGCUCUGGUUCUCACUGCCUGUGAAUAGCUUUGAAUAAGGAGCCUCAGAUGUGGAACUUGGUAGCUGUGUGAGUGAUGUGAUGUCUUGAAGUUUGAUUUUAUAUAGCAGUAGAAAAAUAUUUAAGUCGAGUAGUCUAGUUUGGAGGGAGCAACCCACAGAGCUGUUAAAAAGAACAGAAAAGCUCAUCAUAGUAUUUAAUUGCAUUGAAACUAUUUCUCAAAAUCGACCAAAAGGAGCAUCUGUCAGCAUGUUAAUUUUUAAAUGUAUGUGAUAUAAUAAAUUGUAAAAAGGCUCUAAAGGACAUGAUUAGGAGAUGUUAAGUAUCAGAGGUGACAAUUCACAUGUCAGAAAAAUGGAAGUCUGGUAAGAUGCUCAGAGCCCACUACAAGUGCAUUCCUUGUACUCAGUCUGCAUGUCUAGCAAUUAGAGAUUUUUUUAUUAACUUGAAUGCCAAUUACAUAUGCAUUUUCCAGAAAUUUUAAAUAAAGAUAUUUUAUAUUUA